rnacentral:rRNA from 1 species
AUGGCGAGGGGCGCAACCACCAUGGAGGUCCGCGACGACGGCGUCGCCGUCAUCACCAUCUCCAACCCGCCCGUCAACGCCCUCUCCUUUGACGUCAUAGCUAGCUUGCAGAGAAACUAUGAAGAAGCUCUAAGAAGGAAUGAUGUCAAGGCCAUCGUUCUCACUGGGGCCAAAGGGAGGUUUUCAGGUGGAUUUGAUAUAAAUGGAUUCGGAAAUAAACCAAAAAACGAGAAGCCCGGGUCCUUUUCUAUUGAUUUUCUGACUGGCGUAGUGGAAGAUGCUCAGAAGCCGUCAGUGGCUGCUAUAGAUGGUGUUGCUCUAGGUGGUGGCUUAGAGCUUGCAAUGGUUUGCCAUGCUCGCGUUUCUACACCGUCAGCUCAAUUAGGACUACCUGAACUUCAGCUUGGUAUCAUUCCUGGAAUGGGAGGAACACAACGAUUGCCCCGCCUUGUUGGCCUGAAAAAAGCUCUUGAGAUGAUGUUGAUGUCAAAGUCUAUAAAAGGAGUAGAGGCUCACAAAUUCGGUUUGGUUGAUGCCAUAGUUUCAGCUGAUAAGCUGAUCAGCACUGCCUGUUCUUGUGCUCUGGAAAUCCACGAACACAAAAGGCCAUGGUUAAAGAGUCUCCUGAGAACGGAUAGACUUACAGAUAUUGUGGAAGCAAAGAAAAUUCUCAAAUUUGCGAGAGUUCAAGCCCUAAAACAGGCUGCUAAUCUUCAACAUCCAUUAGUUUGCAUUGAUGUUAUUGAAGAAGGAAUUCUUUUUGGCCCUCGUGCCGCCCUCAUGAAGGAAGUGCUUUCUGGAAAAAUGCUUGAGCAGUCUCAAACAAGCAAAAGCUUAAGGCAUUUUUUUUUCGCCCAACGUGCGACUUCAAAGAUACCAAAUAUUACCAACUUGGGUUUGACACCACGGAGAAUACUAAAGGCAGCUAUUGUUGGUGGAGGUCUAAUGGGAUCCGGAAUUGCAACUGCGUUCAUACUGAGUGACAUUGUGGUAGUCUUGAAAGAAGUAAAUGAGAAGUUCUUGAAUACUGGCAUUAACAGAAUUAAAGCCAAUUUGCAGAGUUUUGUCAAAAAGGGACGAAUGACCCAAGAAGAUUAUGAAAAGAAACUUUCUCUGCUGUCCGGUGUUCUUGACUACGAGCAAUUUAGAGAUGCAGAUGUGGUCAUUGAGGCCGUUAUUGAGGAUCUAUUGCUGAAGCAGAAAAUAUUCUCUGAUCUUGAAAGGAGCUGUCACUCUAAUUGUAUAUUUGCCACAAAUACUUCAACCAUAGACUUGCGGUUAAUUGGCCAACAAACAGCUUGUCAAGAUCGAAUUGUUGGUGCCCACUUCUUCAGUCCAGCUCAUGUCAUGCCACUGUUGGAAAUAGUUCGUACUCAGCAGACUUCCUCACAAGUUAUUGUGGACUUGCUAGAUGUGGCAAAGAAGAUACGGAAAACACCAAUUGUUGUUGGGAGCUGCACUGGGUUUGCUGUCAAUAGGAUGUUUUUUCCUUACGGCCAGGCGGCUGGUUUGCUCGUUGAUUAUGGUUUGGAUAUAUAUCACAUAGAUCACGUGAUAGCAAAUUUUGGAAUGCCGACGGGACCUUUUCGAUUAGCUGAUCUUGUAGGUUUUGGCGUUGCCGUUGCCACUGGAAAGCAAUAUUAUAAGAGUUAUCCAGAGCGAUGUUAUAAAUCACGUCUUACUGAAAUUAUGCUCGAGGAGAACAGGACAGGUGAAUCUUCUCAUAGGGGAUUUUAUCUUUAUAAUGAUAAGCGACAAGCUUCUCCAGAUCCUGAUAUCAAAAAGUAUGUUGAGAAAUCAAGAAACAUGGCAGGUGUUGCACAAGAUCCUAAGCUGAUGAAAUUAACAGACAAGGACAUUGUAGAGAUGGUCUUCUUUCCCGUGGUGAAUGAGGCCUGCCGAGUGCUGGAUGAGGGAAUUGCACUGAAAGCAUCUGACCUUGAUGUAGCAUCCAUUAUGGGAAUGGGCUUCCCUUCUUUUAGGGGUGGAGUGAUGUUUUGGGCCGACUCUCUCGGUGCGGAAUACGUGUACCGCAGACUGGAUGCGUGGUCCAAGGAUUACGGAGAGUUCUUCAGACCCUGUGAAUAUCUAGCUGCCAGAGCUAGUCGCGGCACAUCCUUGGCUGCCACCACAGCUGAUGGCACCAAAUCGCGACUCUAG